CUUAUCUAGCGAAACGAUAGGUCAUUUUCGAAAAAAAUGUAAAUGUAUAUGCUUCAUAUAAACAAAUGAUCGCCUUCCAAGUGCUUCCGCCAAAACCGUACUUUCGUAUUCUUCAAAAAGCUUAUGCUUACGGAACUUUCUACUUACGGAACGGACGCAGCGCCAUGAAGCUUUGGAGCAUUAUGAAUCAGUGUGUUGAAUCCGCGGUUCGGAGCGCCAAAGGCACGUGAUUUCAGCAGUUUGGCGGUUUGACACGCGAUCCGAAUCAUGAUUCGACACGCUGAUUCAUAACGCACCGAAGCUUCCUGAAGCAAUGUUUUGAAAUCGGCCAUCACUAUAUAAGUCAUUAUUUUGUUUUUUUGGCGCACCAAAAAUAUUCUUGUUGCUUUAUAAUAUUAAUAUUAAACCACUUUACUCACAUGAACUGAUUUAAAUAUGUUUUUAGUAUAUUAAUGGAUCUUAAAAGAGAAAUGUCAUUGCUGGCUAUGGAGGCCUCACUGAGCCAUCGGAUUUCAACAGAAAUAUCUUAAUUUGUGUUCCGAAGAUUAACGAAGGUCUUACGGGUAUGGAACGGCAUGAGGGUGAGUAAUAAAUGACAUUAUUUUCAUUUUUGGGUGAACUAACCCUUUAAAUUAGAUUUGUUAACUUCUUAACUUCUUGGAUAUUUUUAACUCUCAUUAACAUUGGCUGAAUUCUAAAAAGCCUCAUGUAAGUGUCAUUUAUAUUAUGGAUCAAAACUCAUUGUGAAGUCAUUCUGAAGAAGCAUGAGAAAAUUAUCUGCCACACUAUGUUUACAUGCAUCCAAAUAAUCCGUUAAUAAUUGUAUUGAUCGGACUGAAGUGUCUUUAUGUAAACACCUCAAUCAAUCCGACUGAGCUUGAUUCGAAUUUAAUUUCAAUUGGUUUGAAAGGGGUGGUGUAGACCUGAAGUAAUCUGAUCUGCAGGGGGAAAAAAAGCAUUUAAAGGCUUUAAUAUAACUCUUCUCAAUUGGAUUCAAAAAUACCUUGCACACCAAAAAUCCCAGUGCUGUUAUGUGUUCAUUUACCAGAGUCCUUUUAUAGUAAGAUUUGCUUCUUAUGAACAUCCUUGUGUUUGUUUACAUCUUAUAAACUGUUGCAUCCCUACAUUUAUGUUUUAUGAGCUCUCAAAACACCAGUUAGAUGUUUAUGCUACUUCUUUAGUAGGAAUUAGAGAAGUUCCCAGAAAUGGAAAAUUUAGAAUCAGGCACCUCUGACAUCUGGACAGAGAAGGUGAUAAGGGUUUUUUUGUUGUUUUUUUUGUUUUUUUUGUAAUGUACAUGCAGAGUUGUACACCCAGACAUCAAAAUGUGACAUUUAAUGAAUGUGACAGUAAAUAAUGGCAGAAUUUUUAUACAAUUCUGAUCUCACUUUAUAUUAAGUGUCUUUACUGUGUUAACAUUUAAAUGAAUCAUUUGAUACGAUGCACUUAUUGAGUACAAACAUGUUUACAUACGUACUAAUAAUUUAAAAAAUACCUGCAUGUACUUACAACUGUAAUUAAUUGAUGUAAUUAGUGGCCAAGCACCGAAGGUGCAAAGGCACCAGUUGUAAUGGUUGAGGCAUGACGCCAAAAUGACUCGAGUCUAUAGGCUUGUUCGAGAUGCAUCGGUGCUGUGCAGAUGAUUUAAAAGCAUAAGGGUUUGUAUAUUCUCCAAACGCUCUCUGUGUACUUUGAUGUCAUACGCCGACUGGUCUUCGCAGUGCCGAUGCAUCUCUAACAAGCCUAAUAUCUCUGCAAACUUUGCAUGUGUCAUUGUCACCUCACUCUGACCACACCACAUCAAUUUCAUAACUGCGCCACUUAUUGGUCGGAAGUGAUAAACUAUUAAAUCAUUUUACCAGUGACUAUAUUUAUGAUUUUUCCUACAUUUUGUCUACAUCUUAAUGUCUUAAAUUGUUCAUUGUUGCAGUUGGUCUGACACGCCCAGCCAUGUUGGCAUGUCGUAUCGUUGUCCUUGUGCUUGGCUCUGAUAAUUGCUGCUUGCAGCUAUAUUUACAUAGAUGUAGAUUUAUAUUUACAUAGAUGUAUUAUAGAUCUAUAAUUAAUCUUGAUGACCCUUCCCUACCAUACCAUCAAACAUGUUGCUAACCUUACCCAUAUUCCACCUCAAUAGCAGCACAAGUGUUUUGCGAUACAAUAUGAGCACAAUAAGUACAUUGUACUUAUUUUUUUAUGUAAGUAUAUAGUUGUUAAGGACACCGAAUAUAAAGUGUGACCACAAUUACUUUAAGCAAAUUUCUGGAGGAUGCUGCCUUGGUAUAUGUUAUGUUUAUUUUAAUUCACCUGCAUUUUAAUUUUGCAUCAGACUGCUUAAUGUCCAGUGUGCAAGAACAUGUUCGAUAGUGAUAUCAUUGAGAUUCAUGCAUCAGACUUGGAUUACAGUAAUCACAUCUACUAGGCCAGGGGUCAGCAACCUUUUUUGUCAAAAAGUGCCAUUUUUAAGGUGUCUAGUUAUUCACUGUGCCUGGAGAGCUACUCAGUUACUAUCUGCGGCAGGCCAUAGCCCAUCUGUGGCAAUGUGUGUUGCAGUAUAGUACUGUCAUAUCUGUAUAACAUUGCUCACUCUCCUUUAUUUAUUUAUUUUUUACAUUUCUGGGAGAAGUAAAAUUUACAUGUGGCUUCAACAAGAUGCUUUUAUACUUGUCUAGCUUCAUUUGGAAUUUCUCAAAACACCUCCUGAAGUGGUUUGAGUGAUCGGAUUUAAAUAUAAGCUGUAAGAUGUCAUUCAUACGGACUUAACUUGUGUGUGUGCGUGUGUGUGUGUGUGUGUGUGAUCCGCAUCUAUCACACCUAAUGUUUUGUCAGAGGAGCUACAUCUUUUCAUUUGACUUGGACCAUGAUCUGUCUGAAUACUCAAUUCUGAUUGGCUGGAAGGUGUGCAAUAAAAUUAUUUAAUGCACAGCUAGCUGUGGAUUAUACCUUACUUAUAGUUCCUAACUUUAAACAAGCAGUGUUAAAAUCCUAUGAGGAAUGAUUAUAUCAAAAUGUAGAUCUGUAAGCAGGUACAAGGUACUUUAUCUGAAUGAAAUGCAUACACCUCUCUCACUUUUGCUCAUGUGCCAGCAAUUGACCCUGUGCAUGCAAAUGUUGGCAUACAUGUCAACCUAUCGGUUGCCGACCCCUGUACUAGGCUAUUAGCAUUCAAUUUUCACAAUUAAUUUGUUUUAUGAAAACAAUAGUAAUUAGCAAAAUUUCUAUUUUUAUGUUUGCAGAUCUGCAGAACCUGAGGAUGAGAACAAGUUAAGUCUUCCUACAGAGACCUUUCAAAGUUCUUGGGACAUUUUGAAUUCAAUCAGCUGUAAAGUUGAUGAAACCAACACCUUUUCCAUGCUUUCAUCGCCACUAGUUCGUCGGCAUCGGCUUGGUGUGUUCCGGGCUUUGCACUCCAGUUGUCAAGAGGCUGCCUGUCAUUAACAGAACAUCAAAAUACUAAUCUACGGGGAGAGAAGAAGCCCUAAUGUACUGUUUUGGAUGUUUUUGAGGAUUAUGGGGAUGACAUUGAUGGAUUAACAGAAUGCAUAACCCAUUACAUUAAAUUCUGUAAUGAUGA